GUUCCUCAUGGAAGAAGGAACAGUUAAGGUAGCUCCUUUGGCAGCGACGGGCUCAGGCGCAACUUGUUUAGAAUUGCUUCUGGUCUUGUUGUCAUUUUCUCCACAUCAGACAUUCCUUGAGCAGUUACUGCCAUCAGACACAGCUAGGCAGCAUACGGGGAAGCAAGGGGUUAAUGGGGAGCUGGAGAGAAGGCUGCGCAAGCAAAGAAGUGGGGUGAGGCACAGACAGGGUUGGCCAGAGGAGGGAGGGCCGGGGUUGUAUAAUCACCGGUGAAGGGCUCCCCUGCUGCUUCUGAGACCAGAAAGGAGAGAAAGUCUGGGAGAUGCAGGGAACUCAGAGGGUGAACAAGUGUGGCCUCCUUCCGCCCUGUGAGUCAUGAGGGUUUCCCGGAAGCAUUUCCUGCUCUUGGUCCCAGGCUGCUUGGCCUUGUUCCUUGGGUCCUAAUCCUUGGUCCCUGAACUUGUGGCCGUGCUCUGUCUGCCUACUUGUUCUCAUGGCAAUUUCUGACCUGAAGGUAUUCCAGGAUGUGAGGGAAAGUUUUGUUGACUGUCGAUGCUGGGACAAGAGGCUGCAGCUUGGUGUCUUCAGGAAGGGCAGUGUCUGCUGAAGCCCUAACCCCCAUGCCUCAGAAUGUGACUGUAUUUGGAGAUGAGGUCUUCAAAGAGAUGACUCAGUUAUAUCAGGGUCUUCGGGGUUAGGCUCUAAUCCAACCUGUCCUUAUAAGAAGAGGAAAUUUAAACACACGGAUUGACACCCAGGGCACCUGUGGGCAGAGAGGACAGGAAGAGGCUGAGAGAGGGCAGUCGUCUCCAAGCCAAGAAAAGAGGCCUCAGAAGAAACCAAACCUGCCAACACCUUGAUCUUGGACAUCUAGCCUCCAGAAGUGUCAUUCUCAGCUAACACUGUCUGGCUUUUCAAAUCACUUUAUUUCUUGGAGUCCUGGUUCAUUUUUCUGGAAGUUCUGUUUUUAUUUUUUAUUUUAUUUUAAAUUUACUCAAAUACUUUCUUUCCUAUAGGGUAGAUGUCAAUUACAUUUUUCCCCUGAAUUCUUAAAAGCUCCAAACAUCUCUGUUUGCCCUUUUACUUAACUGACAGUUUGGCUGAGUAAAGAUUGUUAGGUUUCAGAGUCUUUGCUUCUCAGAACUUGACUCAGGGCUUCCUUCAUUGGCAUGAGACUUGUGCCCUCCAAGAAAGAAAGUGGCAUGAGAAUGACCUGGAAACAAAGGAAAUGGAAGAAAACAAGAGACCCCAUGCUUAGAAGGGCCUGUUUAAGGUUCUGCUGUCAUCAUCUUGAAAUUCUGAAUCAUUUUUGAUCAUGAAUUCCCACACUUUCAUUUUCACCGAGCCCUGCAAAUUAUGAAGCUGGUCCAUCUUAGAAGACACUCAAGCAUCUAGCAAUGCUGGUAUUCUGAAGCUCAACGGAUUCUUAUUCCUUGGUAGGCAACAUG